UACCCGCAGCACAAGUGGUGGUCAUUAUUAUUGGGCCUAAAGCGUCCGUAGCUGGCUUGUUAGAUGCCUGGGUAAAUCGAUGCGCUCAACGCAUCGAACUCCGGGUAGACCGGCAAGCUUGGGACCGGGAGAGGCGUGAGCUACUCGAGGGGUAGGGGUAAAAUCCUGUAAUCCUUCGGGGAGGACCAGUGGCGAAGGCGGCUCACUGGCCCGGUACUGACGCUGAGGUGCGAAAGCGUGGGGAGCAAACAGG
rnacentral:rRNA from 1 species